rnacentral:rRNA from 1 species
AGGAUUAACGCUGGCGGCGUGCCUAACACAUGCAAGUCGAACGAGGUAGCAAUACCUAGUGGCAGACGGGUGAGUAACGCGUGGUCAACCUACCGUUGAGUGGGGGAUAACUAGCCGAAAGGUUAGCUAAUACCGCAUACGAGUCUCGGGGGCAUCCCUGAGCCUUAAAAGGAGCAAUCCGCUCGAUGACGGGACCGCGUCCCAUUAGCUAGAUGGUGGGGUAACGGCCUACCAUGGCACCGAUGGGUAGCUGGUUUGAGAGAGCGACCAGCCACACUGGGACUGAGAAACGGCCCAGACUCCUACGGGAGGCAGCAGUGGGGAAUCUUGCGCAAUGGCCGAAAGGCUGACGCAGCGACGCCGCGUGGGGGAGGAAGGCCUUCGGGUUGUAAACCCUGUUGCCCGGGACGAAUGUGCACUUUUGAGUGCAUUGACGGUACCGGGUGAGGAAGCACCGGCUAACUCCGCGCCAGCAGCCGCGGUAA